rnacentral:rRNA from 1 species
UCGGGAAUUUUGGGCAAUGGGCGAAAGCCUGAUCCAGCCAUGCCGCGUGAGUGACGAAGGCCUUAGGGUUGUAAAGCUCUUUUGGCGGGGAAGAUAAUGACGGUACCCGCAGAAUAAGCUCCGGCUAACUUCGUGCCAGCAGCCGCGGUAAUACGAAGGGAGCAAGCGUUGUUCGGAAUUACUGGGCGUAAAGGGCGCGUAGGCGGUUUAACAAGUCAGGCGUGAAAGCCCCGGGCUCAACCCGGGAAUAGCGUUUGAGACUGUUUUUCUAAGAGUUCGGAAGAGGUAAGUGGAAUUCCCAAUGUAGCAGUGAAAUGCGUAGAUAUUGGGAAGAACACCAGUGGCGAAGGCGGCUUACUGGUCCGACACUGACGCUGAGGCGCGAAAGCGUGGGGAGCAAACAGGAUUAGAUACCCCAGUAGUCCCUGAGCGGGCUGGCAAGGCGCAU